AACGAACGCUGGCGGCAGGCUUAACACAUGCAAGUCGAACGCCCCGCAAGGGGAGUGGCAGACGGGUGAGUAACGCGUGGGAACAUACCCGUUUCUACGGAAUAGCUCUGGGAAACUGGAAUUAAUACCGUAUACGCCCUACGGGGGAAAGAUUUAUCGGGGAAGGAUUGGCCCGCGUUGGAUUAGCUAGUUGGUGGGGUAAAGGCCUACCAAGGCGACGAUCCAUAGCUGGUCUGAGAGGAUGAUCAGCCACAUUGGGACUGAGACACGGCCCAAACUCCUACGGGAGGCAGCAGUGGGGAAUAUUGGACAAUGGGCGCAAGCCUGAUCCAGCCAUGCCGCGUGAGUGAUGAAGGCCUUAGGGUUGUAAAGCUCUUUCACCGAUGAAGAUAAUGACGGUAGUCGGAGAAGAAGCCCCGGCUAACUUCGUG
rnacentral:rRNA from 1 species